rnacentral:rRNA from 1 species
UGGGGAAUAUUGGACAAUGGGCGCAAGCCUGAUCCAGCAAUGCCGCGUGUGUGAAGAAGGCCUGCGGGUUGUAAAGCACUUUCAGUAGAGAAGAAAAGCCUAGGGUUAAUAACCCUGAGUCUUGACGUAACCUACAGAAGAAGCACCGGCUAACUCCGUG